GACUUAUGCUUCCUAGUUCGUUGCCCAGCCACCACCGUCUCUCCAAAACCCGAGGUCUCGCUAAAAUCAUCAUGGAUUCACUUGGCGCCGUCAGCACUCGACUUGGGUUUGAUCUUUUCAAAGAGCUGAAGAAAACAAAUGAUGGCAACAUCUUCUUUUCCCCUGUGGGCAUCUUGACUGCAAUUGGCAUGCUCCUCCUGGGGACCCGAGGAGCCACCGCUUCCCAGUUGGAGGAGGUGUUUCACUCUGAAAAAGACACGAAGAGCUCAAGAAUAAAGGCUGAAGAAAAAGAGGUGGUAAGAAUAAAGGCUGAAGGAAAAGAGGUGGGGAGAUGUGUUUUACAAACUUCAGCAGAGUUGCAUUUUAGGUGUGGGGUCUCUGGGGAAAAGGACUGAGAAAGGCAUGAAAGCAAUAUUGUUGCUUUACUAUUAAGCAGUAAUAAUCACUGUAGACAAAUAUUGUUGUAAGGAUUAUACAAUAAUAAUAACCCCUUAAUAUUGAGAAGAGACCUUAGGUGUAACGGACAAUACCUCUAUGAUAGAACUGGUAAAGGCUAAUAGACAGAAAAGUUCCCAUAGCAGAGUGGAUGGGUUUUGGAG
rnacentral:sRNA from 1 species